rnacentral:tRNA from 1 species
AAUAAGAUGCCUGACUAAAGGAAUACUCUGAUAGAGUUUAUAAAAUGAAUAAAAAUCAUUCUUAUUA